rnacentral:rRNA from 1 species
CUACGGGCUGCAGCAGUGAGGAAUAUUGCACAAUGGGGGGAACCCUGAUGCAGCAACGCCGCGUGGAGGAUGACGCAUUUCGGUGUGUAAACUCCUUUUAUAUGUCAAGAAAAUGACGGUAGCAUAUGAAUAAGCACCGGCUAACUCCGUGCCAGCAGCCGCGGUAAUACGGAGGGUGCAAGCGUUACUCGGAAUCACUGGGCGUAAAGGACGCGUAGGCGGGUUAUCAAGUCAGGUGUGAAAUCCUACAGCUUAACUGUAGAACUGCACUUGAAACUGGUAACCUAGAGUAUGGGAGGGGCAGAUGGAAUUAGUGGUGUAGGGGUAAAAUCCGUAGAUAUCACUAGGAAUACCUAAAGCGAAGGCGAUCUGCUGGAACAUAACUGACGCUAAGGCGUGAAAGCGUGGGGAGCAAACAGGAUUAGAUACCCCCGUAGUC